CCCUUCGAUGUUCGGAGCUGCACGCGCGCUACACUGUGGGUGGCAGCAUGUUAGCUUGCCUCGCUCGCAAGAGUGGGGUAAUCGUUUGAAAAUCCCACGUGAUUGGGAUAGGGACUUGUAAUUAUUUCCCUUGAACGAGGAAUCCCUAGUAAGUGCAGGUCAUCAGCUUGCGCUGAUUACGUCCCUGCCCUUUGUACACACCGCCCGUCGCACCUACCGAUUGAAUGGUCCGGUGAAGCCUCCGGAUUGCACAGGCCCCGUGUCUGGCGCGAGAAGUUGGCUAAACCUUACCAUUUAGAGGAAGGUGAAGUCGUANCA
rnacentral:rRNA from 1 species